rnacentral:rRNA from 1 species
AGUGAACGCUGGCGGUAGGCCUAACACAUGCAAGUCGAACGGCAGCACAGUAAGAGCUUGCUCUUACGGGUGGCGAGUGGCGGACGGGUGAGGAAUACAUCGGAAUCUACUUUUUCGUGGGGGAUAACGUAGGGAAACUUACGCUAAUACCGCAUACGACCUACGGGUGAAAGCAGGGGAUCUUCAGACCUUGCGCGAUUCAAUGAGGCGAUGUCGGAUUAGCUAGUUGGCGGGGUAAAGGCCCACCAAGGCGACGAUCCGUAGCUGGUCUGAGAGGAUGAGCGUCCACACUGGAACUGCGACACGGUCCAGACUCCUACGGGAGGCAGCAGUGGGGAAUAUUGGACAAUGGGCGCAAGCCUGAUCCAGCCAUACCGCGUGGGUGAAGAAGGCCUUCGGGUUGUAAAGCCCUUUUGUUGGGAAAGAAAAGCAGCAGGUUAAUACCCCGCUGUUCUGACGGUACCCAAAGAAUAAGCACCGGCUAACUUCGUG